AUCGUUGUUGACUCACUUGAGAAGUGGAUCUGGAACGCCGUUGAGGAAAUAAGGUGCUUCUGAGGUUUACAUCUUUGAGAUUUCUUCUAGUCAGACUUGGGAACCAAGUCUACAUCUACGGUAGCAGAGGUUUGAGAUUCUAAACAAAAUUGAAGUUGAGCUGGAUAGAUACUGAGGGAGAGUUCAAUCAACUGAGAUUGAUGUAGCUUUAUAGAUCAGAGGCGUUGAUGGAGAGUUCUCAAAUGCAAUUCCCAAAUUCUCCUUUGUUGUUUGGCUGGCUACUCAUAAUCGUCUCACUAUAGGUGAUAGAAUGCAAGUUUCAUAAAGCUUUGGACUGGAUUCUUUGUGGGAGUGGUCGGUGCUACUUUAUCUGUUGAUGUAGAAGAGACAGGAGUAUACAGGAGUCAAGAUAUAUUGAAGAUGGAGAAGUAGCAGGACAUCUUUUGACAUGGUAUAACAUGAUGACCCAAUGACCAAGAUCAUUCUCAUCCUUCACCAUGUCUUUUGAUCUUAGCAUGUCUUUCUGCUGUUUCGAUUUCUUGAACAAAAUCCAAAAAUAAACUGCAUGCCUUUCUGCUGUUUUGAUUCUUGAACAAACUCCAAAAAAAACAAACUUUUCAUUGACAUCAUAGCUCUUUUUGAAUA